AAUCGUACAGGGUCAUCCACUU
rnacentral:miRNA from 18 species